AAAAGCGUUGCUGAGCAGUUGCUGUCUUUUGUCUUCAAUGUUUGACUGGUUGGAACGCUUAGAACGGUGAAUGGCGUAUAGCUCACAUUAAAGCCGCGGAUAUAGACCGGUGUAACGCGGGCGCGCACCACGCACGACACAGUUACGCUACGUCGGCGCAAAGCGGACGCUCUCGCGUUACGGAAGCCACUAGCGUCACCACGCAGCCAGCGUGACUGGCGGAAUUCGGCGCGCUUUGGCGCGGCCAGCGUGGGAGUGGAACAUUUCUUAUCUCGCGCCAGAGCCGCUAGACCAGAGUGCAUCGCGCGCAAGCUUGGCUGGCCGGCUUUCAGUUCGGGUGCAAAGGAGAGAUGGAGCUGAGUUUGCGGGCCUCUGACAAACGAAAAAGGGUUCGCUAGCCACGCCCGUGUGCGCAUGCGCUAGGGCAACAGCUCAUCGCUACACUGCGGCGGGCCACGUUCAACGCGCUGAAAUGUACAGGGGCCAAAUUUUCGGCGACCCUGUCGUCACCGGCGUGCUGCCUCCGACUUUGCCGUCUGCUACAUGGCACCCUGGAAACGCCGGUCCGUAUCCGCGCCUUAAAGGUGGCCACCGUCCGUGCUUAUCGUUUUUGUGAGACCAAUAUUUCACCCGGAUUGGGGGAGAGGGCGAAAGCAGACAUGGAGGGGUGAUUUUUGAAACAGGAACAGCAGGAUGCUCUCCGUUUAGAUCGACGCUAGUGUCCAGCCUGGGAGCGCGCUUUUUCAUGAACUGGAGCGUUGUGGCUCAUACUGAGCGUGACAGAACCGCGAAGACUCUUUUGUGUUUCGUUCUCUUGCCAAGACUACCGGAGAGCCGCUUCUUAACUGCACCAUAGUCGGCAAAGCACACGUGCGGCAGAAAAGGUACAUCACACAAGCGACAAUUACUGGACGCCACAAAAACGUCUCUUGAAGAUAACCAAGUCCUGGUCUCCGCAGGCGGAAUAGAACACCCUUAAGAGUUUUCCCACGAGUAAGCUGCAACUAGACGCGACAUCGUUGGGUCGUCUCUAGUUCGGACCUUGGCAAAACGCUGAAUCUGAAGCUGAUCCGUCACUCCUAGAGAAAGGUACUCUUAAUCACGCCAGCAUUGUGACUGCCUGUGCUCGCAGUCAUUGAGUGAACGCUCUUCAUGUGUGUCCUUGGACGCGAGACACCACAUGUGUUCGGAGGGCCAGUCCAAGAAAGGAAAGCAAACGACGUAUCUUGUAAUACCUCCAUUGUGCGGAGCUUGAAUGAUUCUAAUAAAAUGCAUCGCUGGG